UACGUAGGGGGCUAGCGUUGUCCGGAAUCAUUGGGCGUAAAGCGCGCGUAGGCGGCCCUGUUAGUCCGCUGUAAAAGUCAAAGGCUCAACCUUUGAAUGCCGGUGGAUACUGCAGGGCUAGAGUCCGGAAGAGGCGAGUGGAAUUCCUGGUGUAGCGGUGGAAUGCGCAGGAUACUCAGGAGGAACACCAACGGCGAAGGCAGCUCGCUGGGACGGUACUGACG
rnacentral:rRNA from 1 species